AUGAACGCUAGCUACAGGCUUAACACAUGCAAGUCGAGGGGCAGCAUGACUUAGCAAUAGGUUGAUGGCGACCGGCGCACGGGUGAGUAACACGUAUCCAACCUGCCGAUUAUUCCGGGAUAGCCUUUCGAAAGAAAGAUUAAUACUGGAUAGCAUAACGAGAAGGCAUCUUCUUGUUAUUAAAGAAUUUCGAUAAUCGAUGGGGAUGCGUUCCAUUAGUUUGUUGGCGGGGUAACGGCCCACCAAGACAUCGAUGGAUAGGGGUUCUGAGAGGAAGGUCCCCCACAUUGGAACUGAGACACGGUCCAAACUCCUACGGGAGGCAGCAGUGAGGAAUAUUGGUCAAUGGACGAGAGUCUGAACCAGCCAAGUAGCGUGAAGGAUGACUGCCCUAUGGGUUGUAAACUUCUUUUAUAUGGGAAUAAAGUGGGCCACGUGUGGCUUUUUGUAUGUACCAUACGAAUAAGGAUCGGCUAACUCCGUGCCAGCAGCCGCGGUAAUACGGAGGAUCCGAGCGUUAUCCGGAUUUAUUGGGUUUAAAGGGAGCGUAGGCGGAUUAUUAAGUCAGUUGUGAAAGUUUGCGGCUCAACCGUAAAAUUGCAGUUGAUACUGGUAGUCUUGAGUGCAGCAGAGGUAGGCGGAAUUCGUGGUGUAGCGGUGAAAUGCUUAGAUAUCACGAAGAACUCCGAUUGCGAAGGCAGCUUACUGGACUGUAACUGACGCUGAUGCUCGAAAGUGUGGGUAUCAAACAGGAUUAGAUACCCUGGUAGUCCACACAGUAAACGAUGAAUACUCGCUGUUUGCGAUAUACGGCAAGCGGCCAAGCGAAAGCAUUAAGUAUUCCACCUGGGGAGUACGCCGGCAACGGUGAAACUCAAAGGAAUUGACGGGGGCCCGCACAAGCAGUGGAGUAUGUGGUUUAAUUCGAAGCAACGCGAAGAACCUUACCAGGGCUUGACAUAUAGAUGAAUAUAUAAGAGAUUAUAUAGCUCUUCGGAGCAUCUAUACAGGUGGUGCAUGGUUGUCGUCAGCUCGUGCCGUGAGGUGUCGGCUUAAGUGCCAUAACGAGCGCAACCCUUAUCUUUAGUUACUAACAGGUCAUGCUGAGGACUCUAGAGAGACUGCCGUCGUAAGAUGUGAGGAAGGUGGGGAUGACGUCAAAUCAGCACGGCCCUUACGUCCGGGGCUACACACGUGUUACAAUGGGGGGUACAGAAGGCAGCUACACAGCGAUGUGAUGCUAAUCCCAAAAGCCUCUCUCAGUUCGGAUUGGAGUCUGCAACCCGACUCCAUGAAGCUGGAUUCGCUAGUAAUCGCGCAUCAGCCACGGCGCGGUGAAUACGUUCCCGGGCCUUGUACACACCGCCCGUCAAGCCAUGAAAGCCGGGGGUACCUGAAGUACGUAACCGCAAGGAGCGUCCUAGGGUAAAACUGGUAAUUGGGGCU
rnacentral:rRNA from 1 species